GGAGACCUCAGGUCAGGCGG
rnacentral:rRNA from 47 species